UACGUAGGAGGCGAGCGUUGUCCGGAGUUACUGGGCGUAAAGGGUGCGCAGGCGGCGGUUCGCGUGGCGAGAUGAAAUCUCCUGGCUUACCUGGGAGGAUGGUCGCCAGACGGGAUCGCUUGAGGGUCGGAGAGGGGCGUGGAAUUCCUGGUGUAGCGGUGAAAUGCGUAGAUAUCAGGAGGAACACCUGUGGCGAAAGCGGCGCACUGGACCACAACUGACGCUGAGGCGCGAAAGCUAGGGGAGCAAACAGG
rnacentral:rRNA from 1 species